ACAACUUUCAACAGCGGAUCUCUUGGUUCUGGCAUCGAUGAAGAACGCAGCGAAAUGCGAUAAGUAGUGUGAAUUGCAGAAUUCAGUGAAUCAUCGAAUCUUUGAACGCACAUUGCGCCCUUUGGUAUUCCAAAGGGCAUGCCUGUUCGAGCGUCAUUU
rnacentral:rRNA from 1 species